UGCCCGAUAACUGAGAGAAUGGCUGCACGUAAUGGACAUGGAUGGUCGAGAGGCUGCUAAUGACGCGAAGAGGAAGCGACUAGAUGACCCACAUAGUUAAGGAUAUGACACGCUGUGCGUCCAUGAAUGUUUUCAUCUGUACUGUGCGCAAAUGCGGCGGACCUCGAAGGGGUUUUCAACUUUUUUUUCUCUUGUUUUCGCUCAAGUAUAAUCACAGGUGACUAACUACAGAGGAUAACAGGGUCAGUCAGCUUCCUCCAGGGUUUGGGUCUUGCCAGGAUCUCACUGACCGAGCCCUGGGAGAGGCCCAGCACAUAGUGGCCGAACACACGCUGGCCAAUGUUAUGCUUGAG